CUACGGGUUGCUGCAGUGGGGAAUAUUGCACAAUGGGGGAAACCCUGAUGCAGCAACGCCGCGUGGAGGAUGACGCAUUUCGGUGUGUAAACUCCUUUUAUAUAGGAAGAUAAUGACGGUACUAUAUGAAUAAGCACCGGCUAACUCCGUGCCAGCAGCCGCGGUACUACGGAGGGUGCAAGCGUUACUCGGAAUAACUGGGCGUAAAGCGCGCGCAGGCGGCCCCUUAAGUUGGAUGUGAAAGCCUACGGCUUAACCGUAGAACUGCAUCCAAAACUGAGGGGCUAGAGUCUGGGAGGGGAAGAUGGAAUUAGUUGUGUAGGGGUAAAAUCCGUAGAGAUAACUAGGAAUACCAAAAGCGAAGGCGAUCUUCUGGAACAGUACUGACGCUGAGGCGCGAAAGCGUGGGGAGCAAACAGGAUUAGAUACCCUCGUAGUC
rnacentral:rRNA from 1 species